rnacentral:rRNA from 1 species
UACGUAGGUGGCAAGCGUUGUCCGGAUUUACUGGGCGUAAAGAGCUCGUAGGCGGCUUGUCGCGUCGUCCGUGAAAACCUGCAGCUCAACUGCAGGCUUGCGGUCGAUACGGGCAGGCUGGAGUUCGGUAGGGGAGACUGGAAUUCCUGGUGUAGCGGUGAAAUGCGCAGAUAUCAGGAGGAACACCAAUGGCGAAGGCAGCUCGCUGGGACGUGACUGACGCUGAGACGCGAAAGCGUGGGGAGGCAAACAAGGAUUGAUGA